GGCAGGGGUCUGCGAAGGGAGGGGUUGCGCUGGAGGAAAGAGCCCCUUCAGGAGAAGGAGGCUGCCGUUGUAGUAUGACGGUAAUUCCGGUGGACAAGCCUGUGUCUUCCCCUUCAUCUACAAGAGCCAGACAUUCUACACCUGCACCAAUGAAGAUGCUGCCCAAGGGAGAUUCUGGUGUUCCACAACCGGGAGUUACGAUAAGGAUGAGCAGUGGAGCUACUGUGCCGACACAAGGCUAAGUUCAAGUCUGACAGGGCCGUGCAUCUUCCCCUUCAGCUACAAGAACAAGUCCUACUCAUCUUGCACAACAGAUGGGUCAUCGGAUGAAAAACCAUGGUGCUCUCUCACCAAGAACUAUGAUGUGGAUCCAAAAUGGACAUACUGCAACCCCUCAGGUGACUCGAACCAAAGAGGUGAAGACUAUGGAUGCCUGUGAUUCCAGCGGUGGCAAUUUCCCAAUAACCUGACCAACAUUUGACUAGCUCUUCCUGGCUUCCCUUUGAACUGUAAAAAUGUAGUGUUCCUCAUAGUUGGUGUGGCCCAGCCCCAGCCCCUCCCCCAUUUCUCUUGCUUGCAAUCUGUAUGUUUUCUCAGAGCACAGUCUUAGAGCACAGGAUAUAGCCAUCUUGCUGAACCUAAGCAGUUCUGAUCAGUGUCUGGAUGGGACAUCAACUGGGAACCUUUGGAAUGCCACUUGAAUCCCAUGAUGGAAGCCCAUGAUCCCAUUCGGCUGGUGGCCCCACAGGGACGGGCCUUCUCGGUUACUGCCCCGAGACUGUGGAAUGUGCUCCAUACUGAGAUACGAUCUUCCCCAUCUCUGACAAUUUUUUAAAAGCAUUUGAAAACCCACCU